AGCUUUGCAAAUUCAAGCCCGUAGAGUAAUGGAGUCAAUAGAUCUUUAUUGACCGUAAAGUUUCAGCAAUUUUUGUCUUUGUGUGAUGUCCAGAAGCCUCAGAGAGGUGGUAAUUUCACUUGGAGGCAUAUCCUUGCAACAAGGAUCGACCACUAGGCUAUCCAGAAGCUACAAUAGGAAGAUAAGUUAAUUCUGGUGACAUUACAAUACCACAAUGUGAAUAAUUGUGAAUUGUUUGUUCUAUACAAAAGUACAAUGCUCUCUAGUUUUCUGCUCUUAUUUGUGAUGUCAAUAUAUUUAACAUUUCAUAAAUCUCAUCUGUUUUUUGAUGGGAUGUAUCACAAGCUACAAAUACGUGUAUUUCACCUUUAUCUUCA
rnacentral:misc_RNA from 1 species